AUGAGGAUUGGGAGAAUGGUUUUUAUUUAUUUUGUUGGCCACUAAUAUAAACACAUAUGUCCAUAGUGACAAAGAAAAUGGGGAUUUGGAUAAGCCUUGCAAAGAAAAGCGGCCCAGAAGGAUUGAGGACUCUCUCAGGUGGUAGUGGAAGACCUUCUCGUUUUUCUCAACAGAUGGAUAAAAAAGAGAGAGAAGACUCUUCUUCCGGAUUUUUUUUCACUACUCCCUUUGAUUGUCCAUAAAAAAACUAGAGCGGUCCAUCGUUAAGGAAGCCGAAUCAUCCCUUCAUUGAAAUCACAACAACAACAACACCAGCAUCAACUUGUUGUCCAUCAUCUACAACCAUGAAAGUCGCUCAACAACAACCAUUCACCAUUUCUGGCACCGUUAGUUUCGACUUUGACAUCGUGACUUCUAACAAUAUCACCGCCACGCCUUCGGUCUCGCGAUAACUCUAUUAUUAUACUUUAUUUCAAAUAUGCUCAUGUUUUCAAUUUGAUUAUGUUGAAAAGAUGGAAGUGAGUAUAAAGAUGUUAUGUUCGUUUUUGUUCUUUGAUGUUGGGAGAAUGACCGAUUAUGUUUGUUCUGAAUUUAAUUUCUCAAGAUCUACUUUUUCAUGGCCUUUAUUAUUAUUGAAUUCAAUUCUUGUUGUUUCUUUUUCUAACAAUUGGCAUGUUGGGCCAGACUCUAGUUUUAUUUGCACCACUUAGCACAUAUUAUACACAUUUGGGCUUAAGAAUUUCAUGUUUUAUUGAGCUUUAAGGCCAUUGCAAUCUGCACACGCUAUUUUUGUUUGUUCAAUUUUUGGUCCGAUUUGCACUAGAUAUGUGUUGGGUUUUUUUAUUUAAGAAUUGUCACUAGUCUAUUUCCAUGAAAUUUGCAACUUUGCAAAUAAAUUUAUGACAGUGUCGUUUGAUUUCAUU
rnacentral:lncRNA from 1 species